rnacentral:rRNA from 1 species
ACUCGAGUGGCGAACGGGUGAGUAACACGUGGGUGAUCUGCCCUGCACUCUGGGAUAAGCCUGGGAAACUGGGUCUAAUACCGGAUAGGACCAUGCUUUAGUGUGUGUGGUGGAAAGUUUUUCGGUGUAGGAUGAGCCCGCGGCCUAUCAGCUUGUUGGGGGGGUAAUGGCCUACCAAGGCGGCGACGGGUAGCCGGACUGAGAGGUUGGUCGGCCACAUUGGGACUGAGAUACGGCCCAG